UUAGCCUACGGGAGGCAGCAGUGAGGAAUAUUGGUCAAUGGGAGAGAUCCUGAACCAGCCAAGCCGCGUGAGGGAAGACGGCCCUAUGGGUUGUAAACCUCUUUUGUCGGAGAACAAAACCCGGGACGUGUCCCGGACUGCGUGUAUCCGAAGAAAAAGCAUCGGCUAACUCCGUGCCAGCAGCCGCGGUAAUACGGAGGAUGCGAGCGUUAUCCGGAUUUAUUGGGUUUAAAGGGUGCGCAGGCGGAAUGUCAAGUCAGCGGUAAAAUUUCGGGGCUCAACCCCGUCGUGCCGUUGAAACUGGC
rnacentral:rRNA from 1 species